AUGGUAAGUAGAUAAAUCAGAAAGACGUUUUUAUCGUUUCUUCCUGACUUAUACGCUUACCUC
rnacentral:pre_miRNA from 1 species